GGAAUUUAGGAUAGCCUCUAUUUGUGUGAACAACGUUGCAAGUUCCUCAAAUGUUAAGGCUGCGUUGCCAGCUAUUCUCUUAAGAUGAUGUUUGGAUGAUUUAACCCCAGCUUCCCAAAUACCCCCAAAAUGAGGUGAAUAUGCAGGGCUAAAUUUAAAUCUAAUGCCUUCAGUACUGCCAUACUCUGUCACAGCCUCGCGACUAGACUUAAGCACUCUACCCAAUUCAUUGUUAGCCCCUACAAAUGUUUUUCCAUUAUCUGAAUAAAUUUCGUAAGGUUUUCCCUUCUCGAAACAAAUCUCCUAAGGCACAUUAAAAAACCUUGAGUAGUAAGGUCACUAACGAGCUCCAAGUGAACAGCUUUAGUUGUAAGACAAACAAAUAAACAAAGGUAACAUUUUGAUACUCGACUACCUCUACCUUUUCUACUUGAAAUCAUGAACGGACCUGCAAAAUCUGUUCCACAUGAAUAAAAAGGAAAACUAGGAUUUGUCCUUACAUUAGGAAGGUUACCCAUUAUAGGUUGAAGUGUUUUACCUUUAAAUCGUAUACAUACUACACAUUUUCUUAAAAUACUACGAGCUAAGUUCCUACCACCUAUAGGCCAAUAUUCUUCUCUUAUAGAAGAUAAAAGUAGUUGUGGUCCGGCAUGAAAUAACCUUAAAUGCUCAUGUCUCAUAAGUAAUUUAGUAAAACUAUGUUUGGCAUCAAGUAUAAUUGGAUGUCUUUUUUCAAAAUUGUAAUUUGUAUUUUGUAUACGACCACCCACUCUAAGUAUACCAUCUUCAUCUAUGAAUGGUUUUAGUGGUAGCAUUUUGGAUUUGUGAUGCAGUUCUUUAUUCGUUUUAAUUGUGUUUAAUUCGCAAGAAAAUGAUUGCACUUGGCAACACCUAAUUAAUGUUUUUAGGGAAUUACAAAGUUCAUCUGUGCUAAGACAACCUGUUAGCUUAUUAAAGUUUUUAUUUUUACUAUAUUUGCAAAUAAAAUUAUUAACAAAUCUAUGAACAUAGGCCAUAAUUCUUUUAAGUUUAGUAAAAUUUGAAUAUCUAGUAAAAUCUAAGAAAUUAGUGUCUAUACUAGUAACCAUUACUUUAAGUUCUGGUAAUUCUAAAUUUGGUACACCUUGCUGAGGCCACUCACUUGGGUCCCUUCUAAGAAAUGAAGGUCCCUCCCACCACAAGGAUGAGGACUGCAACUGUUGUGGAGUUACACCUCUUGAGGCUAGGUCAGCAGGGUUACAGUCAGUAGGCACAUGUCGCCAUGAAUAGUCUGCUGUAAUUUCAUUGAUCUCAUUUACUCUAUUACGAACAAAAGGUUUUAGAUGCUUAUAUUGAACCUUUAGCCAACCAAGUACUACCAUUGAAUCGGUCCAAAUAGUUUUACUGAUAAUAUUACAACGUAGUGACUCUAAAACUUUUGCACAUAACCUUGCUCCGAGUAAGGCACCACACAGCUCCAAGCGAGGUAUGGUGGUUGGCUUCAAUGGAGCCACUCGAGCCUUGGCACAUAACAGCUUAACUGUAAUUUGAUUAUUAUUAUUAGUUGUCCUUAAAUAAACACAAGCACUAUAUGCAUUCUGUGAUGCAUCUACAAAACAAUGCAGCUCUACUGAUAUUGGCAAGUCACAGAUAACAUUUCUUUCCAAUUUUAUGUUUGAUAGAUCUGAAAGGUUUUUUGUAAAUUUAAUCCAAGAAUUCUUAAUAUCAUCAGGUACUGAAUCAUCCCAGUCUAUCUUAGCGCUCCAUAAUUGUUGUAAUAUUAUUUUGGCAGUAAUGAUACAUGCACACAAGACACCUAAAGGGUCAAAGAUUUUACAAGUUGUAGAUAUUAUUGUUCUCUUAGUAAUAUUUAAUGAAUCUAUAUUUAUGUCUAUAGGAAAUGUAAACAAAUCUACUGUAGGUGACCAAUUCAACCCUAGUACACAUGACUGUUUAGUUAGAUUUAAUGUAUUAUUAUUUACAUCAUUUUCAAAUAUUUUUGGACAAUUAGUGCGUAUUUUGCGUAAUGGGAAUGAUGCUGAACUUAAUAUUUCAGUCACAGAGUUAUAGAUUUUCAAUAGUUCAUCUUCUGUAGAUGCUCCAGUACUUAGGUCAUCAUAAUAAAAAUCAUUCUUAAUUAUAUUAGCAAUAGACAUAUCUGUACAUUCUUCAGCUAAUUGCAAUAGACAUCUAGUACUUAGGAAAGGUGCUGAAGCUGUACCAUAUGUUACAGUGUUUAAUUGUAAAACUUUAAUACGAAACCUUACCAUAAUAUUAAAUAAAUCAUUUUGUAUUACUGGA